rnacentral:rRNA from 1 species
CCUACGGGAGGCAGCAGUGAGGAAUAUUGGUCAAUGGGCGAGAGCCUGAACCAGCCAAGUCGCGUGAGGGAGUACUGCCCUAUGGGUUGUAAACCUCUUUUGUCGGGGAGCAAAAGCCGGACGUGUCCGGCUGUGAGAGUACCCGAAGAAAACGCAUCGGCUAACUCCGUGCCAGCAGCCGCGGUAAUACGGAGGAUGCGGGCGUUAUCCGGAUUUAUUGGGUUUAAAGGGUGCGCAGGCGGAUUGUUAAGUCAGCGGUCAAAUCGUGGGGCUCAACCCCAUCCAGCCGUUGAAACUGGGGAUCUAGAGUGUGCGAGAGGUAUGCGGAAUGAGUAGUGUAGCGGUGAAAUGCUUAGAUAUUACUCAGAACACCGAUUGCGCAGGCAGCUUGCUAAUCCGCAUCUGACGCUGAUGCACGAAAGCGUGGGUAGCGAACAGGAUUAGAUACCCGGGUAGUC